ACCAGGUCACAGAGGGGCCAAGGCCUCGUGGACACACCUGCCCCAGUGCGGGCCCUCCCACUGUGGGAAGCUGGCUCCGGGGACAGUCGUUGCCUGCUAGGAAGUCAGCAACAGGAGGGUCAGUGCUGGGCAUCAGGGAGAGAGAGUUGAGGAGGGACUGAGCUCGCCAAGGGGAGACAGACAUUUAAACAGAUGAUUAUAAGAAGUAUUUUUUGAG